rnacentral:tRNA from 2 species
GGAGCCGUAGUUAAGUCGGUUAUAACGCUGGCCUGUCACGCCAGAGGCCGCGAGUUCGAGUCUCGUCGGCUCCGCCA